rnacentral:rRNA from 1 species
UACAGAGGGUGCAAGCGUUAAUCGGAAUUACUGGGCGUAAAGCGUGCGUAGACGGUUAUUUAAGUCAGGUGUGAAAGCCCCGGGCUCAACCUGGGAAUUGCAUUUGAGACUGAAUAGCUAGGGUGCGGAAGAGGGAAGCGGAAUUUCCGGUGUAGCGGUGAAAUGCGUAGAUAUCGGAAGGAACACCAGUGGCGAAGGCGGGUCUCUGGGCCGUAACUGACGCUGAGGAGCGAAAGCGUGGGGAGCGAACAGG